UACGUAGGGUGCAAGCGUUGUCCGGAAUUAUUGGGCGUAAAGAGCUCGUAGGUGGCCUGUCGCGUCGGCUGUGAAAACUCGGGGCUCAACUCCGAGCUUGCAGUCGAUACGGGCAGGCUAGAGUUCGGCAGGGGAGACUGGAAUUCCUGGUGUAGCGGUGAAAUGCGCAGAUAUCAGGAGGAACACCGGCGGCGAAGGCGGCCCUCUGGAUCGUUGCUGACGCUGAUACGCGAAAGCGUGGGGAGCAAACAGG
rnacentral:rRNA from 1 species